rnacentral:lncRNA from 1 species
AGAAGCGAGCCAAGUGGAUGGUCGAUAGGUUUAACUUGCUCUCGUUACAGAUAAAUAUUUUAAAAUGUACUGUUUAUUUAUUUUCAACUGUGAAGUAGUGAUAUUGUUGACGUCUUGUGCAGCAAUGGAUUUUAUUGCAGAGCAAGUUUUCUCUCAAAUGGGGAUGUAUCAGAUUUAGGGAACUGCGGAUCGGUGUGUAACACGUGGCAUUUGUUCAUUUGUGAAGGGAAAAAUUUAUCUCUAAGAUUUCAUAUUAUGAACACCUUUUUAAUUUCUGAAUCAUAGGCUGUGUAGGAGCAAUAUCUAAUCACACUUGCAGUAUGUCACACAUCAGUCGUUACCAGCUUCCUCAUAACUAAGGAUUCACUGUUGAAAUCUGUGAUAGCUGUGUGGGUGGAGACGUAAUUCGAUGCCUUUUUAGAAUGUCGAAUCCCAACCAUCCAACAGAUUCUAUAUCGAUCUAUACAUUUUCGCCCACACACUACGUCAUUGCAGAUGACUGAAAUUGGUAUAAAUAGCGUUGUCUAAUGUUACCUGAAUUAUCGACGAGACCUGGCCGUAUCAUCAUGCGCCAAACUCUUCUCCUCACGUUGGUUUUGUGUGGUCUGUUCCUGGGUGGAAUAUGUGGCAAAGACGAGGAAGGCGAUGACCAAGUCGACCAAAUUGUCAGCCAAUGGGUCGUCCCCAACAAUCGCGUUUACCCAUUAUGGUAUAUUUUACACAGUUCAAUCGCAGGCUUUGCAAACACGUGUUCCCCUACGCUGGAACUUUGAUAGCGCCGCAAAAAGUCUUGACAUCAGCUUCUUGCUUUGAAGGGAGUCAGUCUGGUGUUAAAUUUGAACCGACGCAGUAUACACCAAUUGCAUAUCUUCACCUCUGCA